rnacentral:rRNA from 1 species
AUGCCUGGCUUCAGGCCUCACAUCGGGUGCGCGUUCGACUCCGAGAAAUUCUCCAACUUGAUGUUGCAAAUAGAGGUCCUCGCCGGAGGAGGAUCUGUCCCCGACUUCGUGAGCAAUAACGACGAGAAAGCUGAUAAAGGACAUACAAUUGACUCUUCCUCAACAAUGGCAGGCAGGCCUGUUUUAACCCUAAAGAGCAUUCUUAUGAAUUUGCUUAUUCUCACUGGAAGAAGUCCUUUCUUUGUAAAGCUUUUCACUAAUGGCAUGAAGGAAUCCGAUGAGACGCAUCCAAGAAUUAGGAUUGUUGAUUCAGAGGAAAAUGCCCUUAUGGAGCUUCUAAGAUUCAUGUAUAGUGGAAAGUUGACAACAAUUGAGCCCACUCUUCUGCUCGACAUCUUGAUGGCUGCUGAUAAAUUUGAGGUUCUUGCUUGCAUGAGGCACAGUCAGUUUCUCACAAGCCUGCCUAUGACCACAUAAUUUGCAUUUCUAUACCUAGACCAUCCAUGAUCCUCUUUAAUGGUUGCUGAAGUUUAGAGUGUAGUACGUGUAGCCAAGGAAUUCCUUGCUGACAAAUACAAGGAUUUUCGUAAGUUCGAAGCUGAAGUGAUGAACAUCACUCUUGUUGGGAUCGAGGCCAUUUUUUCGAGUACUGACCUGAUAUUACUAUCUGAAGAUGAGGCAUAUUACUUCUUUCUCAAGUGGGCCAGUCUCCGAUACCCAGAAUUUGAGGAAAGACGGAAGAUCUAGAGUUGUCGUUUACUUCCACUGGUACGCUUCAGUCAUAUGACAGGUUUGUCACUUCAGAAUGUCCUAGCAUGCACUGAUGAUGAUAUAGACCAUGAGCAAGUAGCUCAACGUAUUGCUGAGGUACUUCUAUACAAAGCUUAUCCAACACAGAUGGAAGGUACUCCUGCAGCAGAAGUAGCAACCUCACAAUUUUCUGAGCAAACUUACGAGUUGAGGACCAUGAAAGUUGUUGCGUUCAGUCGACCCUGCCCACAUGUUACAGUUUACAUGGCAUUAGAACCAAAAGGUCUUGAGUUUAAGAUCUGGCUGGCGCAAUUUUAA